rnacentral:tRNA from 1 species
GGAGAAGUACUCAAGUAGGUCGAAGAGGACGGUUUGCUAAACCGUUAGGGUUCGUAAGGGCCGCAUGGGUUCGAAUCCCAUCUUCUCCGCCA